rnacentral:rRNA from 1 species
UACGGGGGGGGCAAGCGUUGUUCGGAAUUACUGGGCGUAAAGGGCUCGUAGGUGGCCAACUAAGUCAGACGUGAAAUCCCCAGGCUCAACCUGGGAACUGCGUCUGAUACUGGAUGGCUUGAGUUCGGGAGAGGGAAGUGGAAUUCCAGGUGUAGCGGUGAAAUGCGUAGAUAUCUGGAGGAACACCGGUGGCGAAGGCGGCUUCCUGGACCGACACUGACGCUGAGGCGCGAAAGCCAGGGGAGCAAACGGG